rnacentral:rRNA from 1 species
AUUGAACGCUGGCGGCAGGCCUAACACAUGCAAGUCGAGCGGAUGAAGGGAGCUUGCUCCUGGAUUCAGCGGCGGACGGGUGAGUAAUGCCUAGGAAUCUGCCUGGUAGUGGGGGAUAACGUCCGGAAACGGGCGCUAAUACCGCAUACGUCCUGAGGGAGAAAGUGGGAGAUCUUCGGACCUCACGCUAUCAGAUGAGCCUAGGUCGGAUUAGCUAGUUGGUUGGGUAAAGGCCUACCAAGGCGACGAUCCGUAACUGGUCUGAGAGGAUGAUCAGUAAAACGGGAACUGAGACACGGUCAAGACUCCUACGGGAGGCAGCAGUGGGGAAUAUUGGACAAUGGGAGAAAGCCUGAUCCAGCAAUGCCGCGUGUGUGAAGAAGGUCUUCGGAUUGUAAAGAACUUUAAGUUGGGAGGAAGGGCAGUAAGUUAAUACCUUGCUGUUUUGACGUUACCAACAGAAUAAGCACCGGCUAACUUCGUG